UAAACCUAGGUAGAAAGGAUACAGGGUCUGGCACUGAUGUAUUUAGUUUGAUAAGAAAAACCCAAUUAUCCAUAGGAAAGUUUCUGUAUAGAGAGGCCAUGUCACCUGCAUAUAUUUUCUAUUAUCUUACAAUAUCAACAUUGGCCCCUUGUUUCCUGGGAACCAAUCUGUGCACAAGUGUAAACCACAGCUAGAAACACCAACCCUGCUGAUUCCCAUGCUUAUGAACUAGUGACGAGUGAAAGAGGCACAGCACUGUUCAUGCCAUGCUGUGAUGUAUGCUCGUGGAUAAAGUAUCUAUCUAUAUAUAAAAGCCUAAUAUGCAAAGUGUCCCCUCGGGAGUUCGACCAACUGGGAGUUCCAUCACUCGCUAUGAUGUGUGCUGACCACCAGGGGGUGGCGCGAAUGAAGGAAGGCCCUGGCCAGCAGCCAGCAGCAGGGGAAGGGAGGCCCCGGCUGGCGGCUGGCAGCCACUAGGGACCCUACCCGUGCACGGAUUUCUGCACUGGGCCUCUAGUAUAUUCAUGAAGACAUAUGAGCAAACAAGAACAACUUAUUAGGGAGAAAGAUGACUUUCCCCCCUUUUAAAAUUUUCACUAUUUUUUGUAGUUGUGUAAUUAAUGAAAAGUCAAAGAAUAAGAAAACAUUUUCUUGAGAAGCAGAAGCAAUGAAUGGAGGGGAGAGAGGGAAGGAGGGGUGAGUUAAGUACAGAUAGGAUUUUUAGGACAGUGAAACUAUGUAUGACACUGUAAGGGUGGAUACAUGUCAUUAUACAUUUGUCCAAAACCACAGAAUGUCCAACAUAAAGAGUGAACCCUAAUGUAAACUAUGAAUUUUAGUUAAUAAUAAGGUAUCAAUUUCAGUUCAUUGAUUAUAACAAAUGUACCACAUUCCAUAUAUAUGCAGGAGAAAACUAUGGGGGAAAGGACAAGUACAUGGUAUGUGGUACAUAUCAUGGAACAUACAGGCACUCUGUAAUUCCAUUCAACUCUGCAAUAAACCUAAGACUGCUCUAAAAAUUGUUAAUUUUUUUAAAAAUGUGAAAGCUGCACCACUGCAUAUAAUCCCUCUGUAUUAUUCCAGCAUCGAUCAUUUUCUCUCUGCUUAUACCUGUCAAAGGGUUUAUGCAGAUACAGGAAACGCAGAACAAAUGGUGACUCUGAGGUAACAGAUUGAAGUGCAAGCAACCCGUCACCUUGAUGCCAGAUCUGUGCUAUGAAUCAAUCCGAUUUCUGAAGAUACCUGAAUUCAAUCACAGUCCAAGGUUAAAUUUCCUCAGUCUCAGACAAUGUGUGCUCCUGACAUCCAACCAUGAACAUCAUAACCCAGGAUGACUCAAAGCGGAGGAUUCUCCUUCUGAUGUAUCCUCAGAAGGUCAACAGUAGCCUAAGGCUACAUCACAGUGCCUACGUCAUUCACCUCUUUCACUGCACUAGGCAUUGUAUCAUCUCACAUCAUCACAAGUCAAGGGUACAAAUUCAACUCAACAGACUGUUUUGAAGAUCUCACAGUGGCAGACAGCCCUGAGAAAGAAAUGACUUUUGGAACCCAGGCUGAGCUGAUCUAUGCUCAUCAGCAAAACUAUCAGGAACUCACUGAAUCACAGCCCAGAGGAAUUUAAGAGUCAUUCCCAAAGCACCCUGGGGACCACUGGUCCUCCCCAGAGUAGCCCUCAGUUCCUAGGCUGCAGUCUCCAGUGCCAACACAGUGGUUCCAUGGUGGUGAGAGCAAAGGGGUCGGGGCUGACCCCUGCAGACGCUACAGACUUUGGACCCUCCCCACAGCACUUUGGGACUACCACAGCCACUCUGCUGCUGUGCUAUGGGAAAAACUUUGGUUUUUUAAAAGCAACAAAAAAUAUCACACCAAAUGCCAUUUAAUGAAUCCUCUCAGCUGUCACUGAAUUGAUGUGUUCGUGCCGAUACGGUUUAUCUCUUGGCAAGGACCCAGAUGGGGUUACUUCUUAACUAACA